GUACUUACCUGGCGGGGGUGGUACCAUGAUUACGAAAGUCGCUUCCCAGGGCGAGGCUUAUCCACUGCACUCUGGAUGCGCCGACCGCUGCCACUUCCCCAUACGUGAGAAACUUGACUGCAUAAUUUAUGGUAGUGGGGGACAAUGUCCUCACUCUUCCCUG